AUACGUAGGUGACAAGCGUUAUCCGGAUUUACUGGGCGUAAAGGGCGUGUAGGCGGUCUUGCAAGUCAGAAGUGAAAUUCCUGAGCUCAACUCGGGCGCUGCUUCUGAAACUGCAGGACUUGAGUGCUGGAGGGGAUAGCGGAAUUCCUAGUGGAGCGGUAAAAUGCGCAGAUAUUAGGAAGAACACCGGUGGCGAAGGCGGCUAUCUGGACAGUAACUGACGCUGAGGCGCGAAAGCGUGGGGAGCAAACAGGAUUAGAUGCCCUGGUAGUCCACGCCGUAAACGAUGAAUACUAGGUGUAGGGGGUAUCGACUCCCUUUGUGCCGCAGUUAACACAAUAAGUAUUCCGCCUGGGGAGUACGGCCGCAAGGUUGAAACUCAAAUGAAUUGACGGGG
rnacentral:rRNA from 1 species